AGUGGGGAAUAUUGGACAAUGGGCGAAAGCCUGAUCCAGCAAUGCCGCGUGAGUGAUGAAGGCCUUAGGGUUGUAAAGCUCUUUUACCCGGGAUGAUAAUGACAGUACCGGGAGAAUAAGCUCCGGCUAACUCCGUGCCAGCAGCCGCGGUAAUACGGAGGGAGCUAGCGUUGUUCGGAAUUACUGGGCGUAAAGCGCACGUAGGCGGCUUUGUAAGUCAGAGGUGAAAGCCUGGAGCUCAACUCCAGAACUGCCUUUGAGACUGCAUCGCUUGAAUCCAGGAGAGGUGAGUGGAAUUCCGAGUGUAGAGGUGAAAUUCGUAGAUAUUCGGAAGAACACCAGUGGCGAAGGCGGCUCACUGGACUGGUAUUGACGCUGAGGUGCGAAAGCGUGGGGAGCAAACAGGAUUA
rnacentral:rRNA from 1 species